rnacentral:lncRNA from 1 species
AGCAGGUUAGGCUCUGGUUAACUAGUUUCCCUGAGGCCAGGUGUUCUUAAGAAGGACAUAGUGCUCUGAUGUAUGUCACAAAGGUUCCUUUCCCCUUCCCCUGCCAGAAGCAGGAGGGGGUUUUUCUCCAACAUAUUGUGGCAAUCUAGUUGAGCUCCUGGAAGUAAAUCUCACAAAACUGUGGUGCCUUGCCGUGACUGGGUCGCCCUCGGGUUUAUAGCUCUCAGUUUUGUCCACACUGAGCCUCCAUCAACUCAUCAAUUACAGCUCUGGCUUUCCUGCCCCGGCCCUGCUUCCUGUGGUGGUUUUAGCUGUGAAUCUCUGCUCUGAAAGAGGCAAUUAUAGUUUUUAUGCCAAAGGAAAAAAAGUGGAAGUGAACGUCCUAAAAUUCAAGCCAGAUUUGUACAUAACUGAUGAACACGUCUUGUCUUUUCGACUCUGUUCUCAUUGCAACAAACACAGGAAAGGAGAAGAAAGGGACACAGCCCCCGGGCUCACUUGUGAGAUCAGAAAACCAGGUGACCAUUUGUUGGAGGAAACUGUUUCUGGUGCCUGACAUAUUGUUAUUGAAGACUACAUGAUCCUUGCAGUUAUGUGGGAAGGUCUGACAAUCCCGAGAGCCUGAUGAUAAUCUUUAUAUUUCAUACCUUUUUCAAAUUCUGGUCUAUGUCAGUUUUUGUGAUUACAACAAUUUAAAGCAGAAUCACCAUAUGUUGAUAGUAAAACUGCUUCUCUAGUGGAUAAUUUUUACUUCUAAGAUCUGGGACUUGGGCAAAAAGUCUGUUUUCUGCAAAGUAAAGUACUUAAUUUAAGAAAUAUCAUAUUAUUCAGCUUUCAUUCUUCGCAUGGGAAAUUCAUCUAUUCCCCUGAUAACUUCAAGUUGAUUUUCUGAGUAUAUAAACUAGAUGGUGUACUUGGCUAGGGAAGGGGAGCAGAAUUUCAAGAAGUAGUUAAUAUAGGUGUGUAU